UCUCUGGGUCUCAAAUCCCCCGCCCUGCCUGCCCUGCUCUCAUCUUCCAGCUUCCCCCGGCCACGCUUGAAGGAAGAGCACGUGCUUCGCAGCGGCGUCCCUGCUUGCUGCAGAGCAGCCAGGUCAUCGCCGGCUUUGCUCUGCCUUUGCAAGCCCUCCGGUCACCACCCCUCAGCCACCCUUGACCCUGGCAGCACCUUCAAAGGCAGCAUGCUGCGGAGCCUGCAAUGUUUGCUCGCUUAUCGGGUGGGCAGCCUCCCACUGCGCUCCUGGGGACACCGCUUGGCCACCACUGCCCACGCAAGGUCAGUC
rnacentral:lncRNA from 1 species